AUAUUCGAUCUUGAAAAGCACUAAUUUGCACUAGUGAGAGAAGUACCUGAGUAUAGCCAGUUAGAAAUGGGCCAGACAUUAGCAUACAAACAAUUGAUUUCGCCACAUCCUCUGGAGUCCAGUGGAAGUUCCCUAUGACAUGGGCCAGACAUUAGCAUGCAAACAAUUGAUUUGGCCACAUCCUCUGGAGUCCAGUGGAAGUUCCCUAUGACAAGGUGUCAGAAAUGUAUUAGAUAAAUGCAGAGAACCCACUAAAUACAUAUUGUUUAGUUAGAACUCCAUGAAUAGAAGUUUUUAUUGAAAAACAGUUUCAUUUGCAAAACUGAUCCACAAAUAGAUCAUGAAGUACAAAAUUUUCCAAAUUCAACUUAAAGUGACAGCUAACUCUGAUGGCAGAUCUACUAUUAUUUGCAUUUCAGCACCAAGCCAAAACAUGAUAUGCUUUUAAUAGGCUAUAACACUAGGCAAUACUUCCCUUUUGCAAUUGGGGUGAUGGCCUCAUAAUCUCAUAUUUGUUUACACGGACUGAUGACAAUGUACACCUGAGUUAAGAUUUUGUAUGAAUAUGAAGUGUUCAAUUCAAAUAUAAGAGCAUUUCAUGAUUUAACAAAUAAAUGCUUUGCCUGCAUUUCUUUAAUGUUUGGGAAAUUAAAAUUGAAUGACACAAACAGCAUAUGAACAUAGAAAUUGGAAGUAUCUAGGGCUAAAGAUUGAAGGAGACAUUUAAAUACUCCUUGGACAUGUCACUAGCAAUUUAGCUUUAAGAAUAUGGGCCUAGUAGUACC
rnacentral:lncRNA from 1 species